GACGAACCGAGCGAACGUUAUUCGGAAUCACUGGGCUUAAAGGGCGCGUAGGCGGACGACCAAGUCAGGUGUGAAAGCCCCCGGCUCAACCGGGGAAGUGCCUUUGAUACUGGUCGUCUCGAGGGAGGUAGGGGCGUGCGGAACUUCCGGUGGAGCGGUGAAAUGCGUAGAUAUCGGAAGGAACACCGGUGGCGAAAGCGGCGCGCUGGACCUCUUCUGACGCUGAGGCGCGAAAGCCAGGGGAGCGAACGGG
rnacentral:rRNA from 1 species